GUACAUGCUUACACCAUAGCAUUAAUGUACCAUAUUUCAUUAGAACUUCGUAGUUAAGCAUGCUUGGGUUAAAAUAGUAUUGGGAUGGGUGACUGCCCCAGAAGUCCUAGUGUUUUAAAUG
rnacentral:rRNA from 1 species